GGAAGGUCAGUGCCUGCCAAUCACUCUACAGGAAAGGAUGUACCUUUGAAGAGGAACUUUCCGGACCCUCUUAAUUCUGCCAUCAGUGCAGCUCUUCCAGAUGAAGCUGCUUUGGUGGAAGGUGCUAAAAAGCUGGGCUUUGUGCAGUGAGAACACCAUACUCAGUCAUCAUGGAAGCAAUAGAGCUUUGGAGCCAAACCCUUCUGAUGAUCCAAGGGCAAGCACAAUCUUCCUGCGACAAUAUCAAACAGAUGGUGAGACGACAUUGUUUUUCCACCAAGAAGACGACUGAAAACUCUCUGUCAUAAUGAGUAUUUUACAGAAAGUAUUUAGAAAAACUUACAUUGGUUUAAAUUUUUCAACUUUUCAUAUAUUCAAUUGUCCUGUUUUAAUGUGUAAUGUACUUUAGUUGUUACUGUGUGAGUGAAAACAUGUAAACUCUCUGUUCACACAUUUUGCUACCUUUUAGCAAUACCAUUUGUCGUGAUUUAAGAGUAGUCAUAGAUUUAUCUAUAUUCAUAAUUUUUUGUCUUUUGCCCUUUUUCCCUUGCUCCAAAGAGUUCAUUUUAAUGAUGAAUGAUCUAAUUUAG
rnacentral:lncRNA from 1 species